UCAUGAAAAAUAUUUUUUUCCCCUUUAAGAUCAUUCUUACAAAAAUGAACAUAUAUCCAUUAAUAAUAAUACAGAUUUUUAUCCUAGACAUCUUUUUUUAAAUCUCACCCGGGCAAAAAAUAUCCAUAUUCAAAGGCUUAACUCAACAAUUUCCGUUCACAAGCACGAACAAUAUAAGUAAAAGCAUAAUCGGGCGAUCAAACACGCUAAGACAAACGAGUCAUUUGUAAUGACUUGCGACAUUUGACACGAAAUAUGAGAGAUUAAAAUAUGAUACAAUAAUUUGUAUGAAUAUGUAAUUGAAAAAAAAAGAAAAGAAAGAAAAUUAACAUCGGCUAAGUAAGCGUUAUCGCUUACUUUUAUUCGCAAAUAAAUUUUCAAACGUUCGCAUUCAAAGUCGUCGGUAUGCGAGAAAUUCCCGGAAUAAAUAGAAGCAUUCAAGAAUCUCAUCAGAAAAAAGUUUCGACGAAUAUGUAAUAACCAAGUGAUUGAUGAAAUUGCAAACGAUAAAUAAAAAAAAAAAUUUGUUUUUUCGAAUAAAACUUCUGUACUAUUUCGAUCGAAGUCGUAACUCUGAGCAUUGUUCAGAAGGAGAACAAUUUUAUCGAUGUUCCACGAUAGAGAACUCGAACAAAUCCGAAAAUGAUUGCAAAAGAAGCUACGAUUGCGGAAGGUGGAACGAUUCUCGGUAAAAUGGACAUUUGAGCCAUGGAAAAAGGGACUUUAAUUACGUUGCUAGUUCACAUCGAACUUCUUACCGAGUCUUGAAUCGAUUUUUCUUCUUCUUUUCUUGAAUUAAUCCUUUUGCGGUCCUGUGUUGUACCAGUCUCUGUGAUUCUGUUUUUAUUAAAAUCUCUACAGUACUUUUAACGUAUAAAAUAUAUUCCUUUGUGUUGUAAAUUAUUUUAUUAAAAAUAUAUUAUAACGUGGACAAUC